AUACAAUCUAACCGUAGACUGUAAAAAAAAUCUUAUCAGUUUAAUAUCUGAUACGUCCUCGAUGAGAGGACUUUAUAUUAAACGGAUUUUUGGGCGCGGGAGUUGGACCCGGAGCUUGCUCCCUCCGCUCCGCGCAUCGUCCCGGUAUUGCAGUGCCUCCGGGAACGGUGCACCUCCU
ensembl:snRNA U2 U2 spliceosomal RNA